rnacentral:rRNA from 1 species
UACGGAGGGGGCUAGCGUUGUUCGGAAUUACUGGGCGUAAAGCGCACGUAGGCGGCUUUGUAAGUUAGAGGUGAAAGCCCAGGGCUUAACCCUGGAAUUGCCUUUAAGACUGCAUCGCUAGAAUCGUGGAGAGGUGAGUGGAAUUCCGAGUGUAGAGGUGAAAUUCGUAGAUAUUCGGAAGAACACCAGUGGCGAAGGCGACUCACUGGACACGUAUUGAACGCUG